ACCGCGGUUAUACGAGAGGCCCAAGUUGACCGCACUCGGCGUAAAGAGUGGUUAGAAGAACAUAAACUAAAGCCGAAUACUCUCCUAAUUGUUAUACAUACUCGGGAGUAAGAAGCCCACCUACGAAAGUGGCUUUAUCAACCUCGACCCCACGAAAGCUGUGGC
rnacentral:rRNA from 1 species